rnacentral:misc_RNA from 1 species
AAGUCGUAACAAGGUUUCCGUAGGUGAACCUGCGGAAGGAUCAUUAAUGGAAAAGCGUAAAGCUUCUCUUUUUUAGCAUCAAGUCUUUGGUUACCCUUAACGGGCGACCUAAGUUCCUGAUGUGACUUGGCUAGUAGGUUUGCAUGGUGUUUCCAAGCUAGAUCUUGGUUUCUCCAGCAUCUCCAACGCCGGGGUAUCCGUCUGAAUCAAAAGACGAAAGACUUUUUUUUUCAGUCAUUUUCAUUUUUGACGCUGUUCAAUCAGCCGAUAAAAAAAAAACCAAAUAAAACUUUCAACAACGGAUCUCUUGGCUAGCC